UCGAAUCGUAGGCGAGGGUUGUCGCUGGCCUCUCGGGGCAUGUGCACGCCCGAGCCCUUGAAUCCCAAACACACAUGUGAACCCACCGUAGGCCUUCGGGCCUAUGUCUUAUCAUAUAAUCCGAAUGUCUAAUAGAAUGUAAACCCAUUUCGUUGCCUUGAAAACGUAACGAAAGAAAACUAUA
rnacentral:misc_RNA from 1 species